rnacentral:tRNA from 1 species
GCCAGUAUGGUGUAGUGGUUUGAGCACUAGACUAUGACUUUGGAGACCAGGGUUCAAAUCCCCACUCAGGCA